UACGGAGGGAGCUAGCGUUGUUCGGAAUUACUGGGCGUAAAGCGCACGUAGGCGGCGAAGUAAGUCAGGGGUGAAAGCCCGGGGCUCAACUCCGGAAUUGCCUUUAAGACUGCAUCGCUAGAAUUGUGGAGAGGUAAGUGGAAUUCCGAGUGUAGAGGUGAAAUUCGUAGAUAUUCGGAAGAACACCAGUGGCGAAGGCGACUUACUGGACACAUAUUGACGCUGAGGUGCGAAAGCGUGGGGAGCAAACAGG
rnacentral:rRNA from 1 species